UGUGGUGAGCGCUAUCACCCUGCAGCCCAAGACUGGUUGCCCACUUAAUCUAAGCAGGGCUGAGCCUGGUCAGUACCUGGAUGAGAGACCUCCUGGGAAAACUAGCUUGCUGCGGGAA
ensembl:rRNA 5S_rRNA 5S ribosomal RNA